AACUUUUUUAAUUGGGUCUGUGACAGUCUAUUACAAAAUCACAAUAUCACCAAAGUGUGUUGUGUCGAACAUUUCAAGCAACAUUCCCAGCUAAUGAGAAACCAGUCAUGGUGUUUAUUUAAGAGAAUGAACUCGAUUUAACAAGGCAACCUUGGGCUAAUUUGUAUGGGUGCCAAUGGCAGAUUUUGAGGGAUUUUUACAUCCGUACCCCAGCAGAGCGGCGUGUCCACUGAAACGUAAUUCCGUGAGGAACUACACUACAUUAUCAAAAAUAUGUGGACACCUGCUUGUCGAACAUCUCAUUCCAAAAUCAUGGGCAUUAAUAUGGAGUUGGUCUCCUCUUUGCUGCUAUAACAGAUUCCACUCUUCUGGGAAGACAUUUCACUAUCUGUUGGAACAUUGCUGCGGGGACUUGCUUCCAUUCAGCCACAAGAGCAUUAGUGAGGUUGGGCGAUUAGGCCUGGUUCGCAGUCAGCGUUCCAAUUCAUCCCAAAGUUGUUCGAUGGGGUUGAGGUCAGGGCUCUGUGCAGGCCAGUCAAGUUCUUCCACACCGAUCUCGACAAACCAUUUCUGUAAGGACCUCGCUUUGUGCAUGGGGCAUUAUCAUGCUAAAACAGGAAAGGGCAUCCCAAAACUGUUGCCACAAAGGUGGAAGCACAGAAUUGUCUACAAUGUCCGAACCAUGAAAAACAGCCCCAGACUAUUACUCCUCCUCCACCAAACUUCACAGUUGGCACUAUGCAUUCAGGCAGGUAGCGUUCUCCUGGCUUCCACCUAACCCAGAUUCAUCCCUCGGCCAUGGAAACACAUUUCAUGAAACUCUUGACGAGGUGUUUUUGUGCCGACGUUGCUUCCAGAGGCAGUUUGGAAUUCAGUAGUGAGUGUUACAACCGAGGACAGGCCAUUUUUAUACCCUUCAGCACUCGGCGGUCCCGUUCUGAGAGCUUGUGUGGCCUACCACUUCACAGCUGAGCCAUCGUUGCUCCUAGACUUUUCCACUUCACAAUAACAGCACUUACAGUUGACUGGGACAGCUCCAGCAGGGCAGAAAUGUGACAAACUGACUUGCUGGAAAGGUGCCAUCCUAUGACGGUGCCACGUUGAAAGUCACUGCUCUUCAGUAAUGCCAUUCUACUUCCAAUGUUUGUCUAUGGCGAUUGCAUGGCUGUGAGCUGGAAUUUAUACUCCUGUCAGCAACGGGUGUGGCUGAAAUAGUCAAAUCCACUAAUUUGAAGAGGUGUCCACAUACUUUUUAUAUAUAUAGUGUAUCAGUGUAAGUCCUGAUCGGGUCUCCUCCUUCAGAAACUGACCAGAAGGCGACCGCUGACCACACUGCAGCCCUAUUGGAAAAGAGUUUCAGUAACCCCGCCCCAAAAAAGGAGACCACCGUGCUAUUGGCUGAGACUCUGUCUCGACUCUGUAAGGAUAGGAGAAUGUCUUUUUAUUUUGGUUGUAACCAUCGUUGACCCCAAGUGGGAGAUGCCGAUAAUAGAUAUCAAGACAGAGGAUUGUGCCCAUUCCAUAUUUGUCUCAUUAUUUCUACUCUACACAUUUCUUGGACCCAUUGCAAUAGAAUUACACAUCAUUGACUUGAAUGGUGAUGCUUGCUCUAGUCAUUACAUUUCUAUGACUGACCCUGUGUUCCACUCCUUAGCUGGACUUGCUGUGGACCAGGAAGCAGAACGUCAUGUACAACCUGUUUGAUUGGCCAAAGAGGCGCCAUGUCCACCACCACACGAGGGCGCUGUUCUACUGGUCCUGACCAGGAUGUCGUUCCAUCCGUCCAGCUGCAGCAGAUCAUCAUGUCCAGAUUGAACAAGUUCAAGGCCUUUGAGGAGGAUGCUCUGCAGCUCAUCUCUAGAAAGGAUUGGUGGGUAUCAUGUGAUGGAGGCCCUGGAUGAGAAGUUCUCUUCCUCUUACAUCAAAGCCACCAGUUAAGAUAAACCCCACUGGCCCACAGAGCUGUCAAUUGGUUCCCAUUGGCCCAGAGAGCUGUCGAUCUAUGUGAAAUCGAUGUGUGUUCGGUGUGCAUUGGUGUAGGAGCAGCUCUUCCUGAGGGCGGUCAUCGCUGAGUUCAGGCGGCUGUGACUGGAGGCGGUCACCUUCCAACAGGUGUUAGUGCAGCACCAGGCGUUGUUUCGUGUGGGGUGCCUGCAGCCCAUCAGUGUGUCCAAGGGUCUGGCCGUGUGUCAGCACCCGAGGGCGUGCUGUCUGCUGCUGCUGGAGGCCAGCCAUCUAGACGUACUACAGAGGGUCAGACUGGACGUCAGCCAGGACGACGUGCUCUACGCACGCAAGGCCGACAGAGAGACCACCAGGGGUCCAAGGGUCUAGCCGUGUGUCAGCACCCGAGGGCGUGCUGUCUGCUGCUGCUGGAGGCCAGCCAUCUAGACAUACUACAGAGGGUCAGACUGGACGUCAGCCAGGACGACGUGCUCUACGCACGCAAGGCCGACAGAGAGACCACCAGGGGUCCAAGGGUCUAGCCGUGUGUCAGCACCCGAGGGCGUGCUGUCUGCUGCUGCUGGAGGCCAGCCAUCUAGACGUACUACAGAGGGUCAGACUGGACAUCAGCCAGGACGACGUGCUCUACGCACGCAAGGCCGACAGAGAGACCACCAGGGGUCCAGGCAGGGGUCCACCCUGUGUUUUCUGACCAGGUUGGUCCUAACAUAACAACAACAAAACAUCUCAGUUCAGGAAAGCUGCAGUAUCACCAGGUUUCAGUUGCAGUCAAGCAUUAAACUGUAAGUAUAUCAGUUCCUGAGCCAGAUAGGGAAACGAAACUGGCUCUAUCAGCACUAUCUCUGUCAAUUGAUCAAUGUACUGUUUUGUGAGAACCAAGAUCCCUCUCUCACACUGAAACUCUCCAUGUCAACCGUUGGACCACAUAGUCCCAUGCCUGCCCUUGACCACAGCCAAUACUACCGUACCACUCAGGACUGGGAACAUGAAUCCCACAGACACCCCUUACUGUGUCAAUGAAUCUGACCAUACUGUAUAUACAAGGUGAUAUGGCGGCUCUUUUAGAGGCUCACAGUUUGGUUUGAUGCUGUCUUCUGAGAGGCAGAGGCAGUUUUUUUUAGGACAAGGAUCCUCUGUUUUUAAUAUUUAUUUUACGAAUGCUUUUCAAU